GACGAACGCUGGCGGCGCGCCUAACACAUGCAAGUCGAACGAGCGAGAGAGAGCUUGCUUUCUCAAGCGAGUGGCGAACGGGUGAGUAACGCGUGAGGAACCUGCCUCAAAGAGGGGGACAACAGUUGGAAACGACUGCUAAUACCGCAUAAGCCCACAGCUCGGCAUCGAGCAGAGGGAAAAGGAGCAAUCCGCUUUGAGAUGGCCUCGCGUCCGAUUAGCUAGUUGGUGAGGUAACGGCCCACCAAGGCGACGAUCGGUAGCCGGACUGAGAGGUUGAACGGCCACAUUGGGACUGAGACACGGCCCAGACUCCUACGGGAGGCAGCAGUGGGGAAUAUUGCACAAUGGGGGAAACCCUGAUGCAGCGACGCCGCGUGGAGGAAGAAGGUCUUCGGAUUGUAAACUCCUGU
rnacentral:rRNA from 1 species